GGGCCUAUAGCUUAGACUGGUUGGAGCGCCCGGCUGAUAACCGGGAGGUCGGGAGUUCAAUUCUCCCUAGGCCCA
rnacentral:tRNA from 1 species